AACGAACGCUGGCGGCAGGCUUAACACAUGCAAGUCGAACGCGUGUAGCAAUACACGAGUGGCGCACGGGUGAGUAACGCGUGGAUAUCUGCCUUUUGGUUCGGAAUAACUCCGGGAAACUGGAGCUAAUACCGGAUGGUUCCUACGGGAUAAAGAUUUAUCGCCAAAAGAUGAGUCCGCGUACGAUUAGCUAGUUGGUGAGGUAAUGGCUCACCAAGGCGACGAUCGUUAGCUGGUCUGAGAGGACGAUCAGCCACACUGGGACUGAGACACGGCCCAGACUCCUACGGGAGGCAGCAGUGGGGAAUAUUGGACAAUGGGGGCAACCCUGAUCCAGCCAUGCCGCGUGAGUGAUGAAGGCCUUCGGGUUGUAAAGCUCUUUUGGUCGGGGACGAUGAUGACGGUACCCGCAGAAUAAGCCCCGGCUAACCUUCGUGCCAGCAGCCACGGU
rnacentral:rRNA from 1 species